rnacentral:piRNA from 1 species
UAAACCCAAUUAGGGCCUGAAAAUUUAUGGU